rnacentral:rRNA from 1 species
UACGGAGGAUGCAAGCGUUAUCCGGAAUUAUUGGGCGUAAAGCGUCCGCAGGUGGUUUAUCAAGUCUGCUGUCAAAGCGCGAGGCUUAACUUCGUAAAGGCAGUGGAAACUGAUAGACUGGAGUGCGGUAGGGGCAGAGGGAAUUCCCAGUGUAGCGGUGAAAUGCGCAGAUAUCAGGAGGAACACCGGUGGCGAAGGCGGGUCUCUGGGCCGUAACUGACGCUGAGGAGCGAAAGCGUGGGGAGCGAACAGG